rnacentral:rRNA from 1 species
AUACGGAGGGUGCAAGCGUUAAUCGGAAUUACUGGGCGUAAAGCGCGCGUAGGCGGCUAUAUAAGUCGGAUGUGAAAGCCCUGGGCUCAACCUGGGAACUGCAUUCGAUACUGUAUAGCUAGAGUUUGGUAGAGGGAAGUGGAAUUCCACAUGUAGCGGUGAAAUGCGUAGAUAUGUGGAGGAACACCAGUGGCGAAGGCGACUUCCUGGACCAGAACUGACGCUGAGGUGCGAAAGCGUGGGUAGCAAACAGGAUUAGAUACCCUAGUAGUCC